AUGGGCACCAGGCUGCUCUGCUGGGCAGUGCUCUGUCUCCUGGGGGCAGUUGGACCAGAAGAGCCCGCUGACCCGCCCGCUCCUGCCAUGAGUGUGGGUCCCCUGAGCUGUGUGGUCCUUUGUCUCCUGCUGGCAGGUCCAGCGAAUGCUGGUGUCACUCAGAGCCCCAAGUUCCAGGUCCUAAAGACAGGACAGAGCCUGACCUUGAGAUGUGCCCAGAAUAUGAACUAUGACUACAUGUGCUGGUACCGCCAGGACCCAGGGCUGGGGCUGAAGCUCAUCUAUUACUCAGUUGACCAUGACAUCUAUGAGAAAGGAGACGUUCCCGAUGGGUACAACACGUUCAGACAAAGCACAGAGGAGUUCCACCUCACGCUGCCGUCAGCUGUCCCCUCACAGACAUCUGUGUACUUCUGUGCCAGCAGUUACCACAGCCCUCCACAGCCACCUGCUGUCUGCACAACAUCCAGGCAGGCACUGUGCCCCUGA